GUCUAUGGCCGUACCAUCCUGAACACGCCCGAUCUCGUCUGAUCUCGGAAGCUAAACAGGGUCAGGCCUGGUACUAACCAGGGAGAAAUCUACA
rnacentral:rRNA from 1 species